rnacentral:rRNA from 1 species
UGAGGAAUAUUGCGCAAUGGGGGCAACCCUGACGCAGCGACGCCGCGUGGGUGAGGAAGGCUUUCGGGUCGUAAAACCCUGUCAGAAGGGAAGAAGUGCUUAUAGGUUAAUACCUUGUAAGUUUGACGGUACCUUCAAAGGAAGCACCGGCUAACUCCGUGCCAGCAGCCGCGGUAAUACGGAGGGUGCAAGCGUUGUUCGGAAUCACUGGGCGUAAAGGGCGCGUAGGCGGCUUGGCAAGUCAGAUGUGAAAGCCCACGGCUUAACCGUGGAAGUGCAUUUGAAACUGCUUGGCUUGAGUAUCAGAGGGGAAAGUGGAAUUCCCGGUGUAGAGGCGAAAUUCGUAGAUAUCGGGAGGAAUACCGGUGGCGAAGGCGACUUUCUGGCUGAAUACUGACGCUGAGGCGCGAAAGCGUGGGGAGCAAACAGGAUUAGAUACCCUGGUAGUCCACGCCGUAAACGAUGUCAACUAGGUGCAGGGGGUGUUGAUCCCUUCUGUGUCGCAGCUAACGCAUUAAGUUGACCGCCUGGGGAGUACGGUCGCAAGAUUAAAACUCAAAGGAAUUGACGGAA